UACAUACUGUAUAUUUCUCUUUAUAUGUCAUUUUUGGAAAAGACAAAACUGUACCAGUAGAGAAUAGAUCAGAGGGGGUGCCCCGCUGUGUUGGUCAGAGGGGCCUGGGGGAACCCUGGGGAUGAGCGACCAAUCCACAUCUUGAUGACGGUCACCCAACUGAACGCCACUUGUCAGAACUCGCAAAACCAAAACCUAAAAUGUUAAUUUUACCGGAUGUAAUUAUACUUUUAAUUUUUUUUUAACUAAAACGAAGCUGGGAGCAGUAGCGCACGCCUAUAAUCCCAGCUCUCUGGGAGGUUGAGGCAGGACAGCAAGUGGGAGGCUAACCUGAGCAAUUUAGGAGACCCUGUCUCAAAACACAAAUAAACAAGGUUACAGAUGUAUCUUAUGGUAAUGCCCCUGCGUUUAAGCCUCAGCACCACAAAACUAAAAAUCUUGAGACUGGUGCUGCAGGGGCCGGGAGGAGAGGGAAUGGGAAGUGACCGCUUAACAGAUAAUGGAUUACUUCUGGAGUUUUGGAGUUUGG
rnacentral:lncRNA from 1 species